rnacentral:lncRNA from 1 species
UACCACAGUACAAAUACAAAUGAAAAAAGAGAAAAAGAGAUGGCUUUCUUCUGUGGGGUGGGAGAGCAGCUGUGAUUCCUGGCUUGUUCGUGGGAAAAGAGCACCUACAGAGCGCCUGCUGUCGACUUCGUCCUUGUGCUCUGCAUACCCAGGGGCAGGGUGGGGAGGGUUGUCAAUACACGUUUUUGUUUGUUUGUUUGUUUGUUUUUUGUUUUUGAGAUGGAAUCUCGCUCUGUUGCCCAGGCUGGAGUGUAGUGGUGUGGCCUCGGCUCACUGCAACCUCCACCUCCGGGGUUCAAGCAAUUCUCCUGCCUCAGCCUCCUAAGUAGCUGGGAUUACAGGCACCCACCACCACACCCAGCUCAAAAUAGGUUUUGUCCAAAUGAACCGUCUAGCAGCUACCUGCAGACGGAUCAAAUAAAACAGAGAGCUACCAGUUGCCAGCUGUGGCCCCUGCCCCUGCCGUUAGGUGGCGGGAUUCCUCGGCCCUUUGGCGGGAGGCGGGAUAAGAACAAACCAGACGUGAACUAUGAAACCAUGGGACGAGCUUUGAGAUACUAUUACCAAAGGGGAAUUCUUGCAAAGAUUGAAGGACAGAGGCUUGUAUAUCAGUUCAAGGAUAUGCCGAAAAACAUAGUGGUCAUAGACGAUAAAAAAGUGAAACCUGUAAUGAAGACUUAGCAGGAGCUAUGGAUGAAAAAUUAUUAGACACCAAUCCAUGCAAUUGCGUAAAAUGAUUUAAAGAUAACAUUUCUGAGCAGUUUCAGGCUGCAGUAAUAUUUAAUGGUAUAUCACACAGAGUCACAGACAUUGUUGGGUCCUGCACAAAAGCUGGUCCUCCUUUCAAUCCUUGCUAAAGGACUUUGAUUUGGCUCAGCUUCUCACAUUCUCUGUGCUCACCAGGGGCUCAGAAGAUGGGUGAGUGGGACCAUGUUAGGAGUGAUGGGAGCAUGUGACUUUUCUCAGAGUGGCCAGAAGAUUAGCAUCAGGUCAGGGAAUGCAGAGGGAGGCUGGGAAGGUAGGCUGCUGUGAUGUUUCCAAAGCUCUUCUGUAUCAAAGAAUUUGGGUGGUUUUUCUAUAAAGCCACUCCUCAGCACUCUCAUGCCCUAGCCAUGUGGAUAGACCCCUGUGGCUGUGUUUGUACCAGGCUGUGACCCUUCUGAUUAAGGUCACAUAGCUGAGCAGUGCUCCAUAGCUCCAGGGCUGGACUAUGCCAGUAUGAUUACUCUCCUAAGAAUUUGGAAUUGAAACUGGAGUCACUAAGUCUUAGUCAGAGCUUGAACUGGGAGGACACAAAUUUUGGGAACUGAGUAGAAGCUGUCUUUUGCCCUCUGCAUUGAGAAGCACAGAAAAAUGGCCCAGAGAGAGACAGACAGACACACAGAGAGAGUCAGAGACAAACUGAGACACGAUUAGGGACUGAAUUUUGUUUCACUCAAAUUCGCAUGUAGAAGUCUUAAUCUCCAAUGUGUCUGUAUGUGGAGAUAGGGUCUUUAAAGAGAUAAUUAAAGUUGAACCCAGUCAUAAGGGUGGGGCCUUGACCUAACAGAGCUGUGUGUCUAAAGGAAGAGAGAUACUGGCCGGGUGAGGUGGCUCACUCCUGUAAUCCCAGGAUUUUGGGAGGCUGAGGCAGGAGGAUUGCUUGAGUCCAGAAGUUUGAGACCAGCCUGGGCAAUGUGGUGAAAUCCCAUCUCUACAAAAAAAUAGAAAAAAAUCAGCUGGGUGUGGUGGUGCAUGCCUGUGGUCCCAGCUACUUGGGAGGCUGAGGUGGGAGGAUCACCUGGGCCCAGGAGGCAGAGGUUGCAGUGAGCUGAGAUUGCACCAUGGCACUUCAGCCUGGGUGACAGAGUGAGACCCUGUCUCAAAAAAAAAAAAAAAAAAAAAAAAAAAAGAAGGGACAUACCAGAGAUAUACCAGAGAUGGACAUGGCAUAUGAGGACACAGCAAGGAGGUGGCCAUCUGUAAGCCAAGGAGGGAGGCCUCAGAGAAUUCACCCCUGCCCACACCUUGAUCUUGGACUUCCAGCCUCCAGGACUAUGAAAAAAUAUAAGCCCCCUAGCCUGUGGUAUUUUGCUAUGGCCGCCCUGGCAAACUAGUACAGACACAGAGAGAGAGAGACUGGGCCACAGAGAAAUAAAGAGAAGCAGGGACAAAAACUAUGGGAUGCCAGAGAUUGGUGUGGGAGAGCUGACUGCCCUGGUUGUAGAGGAUUUCCAUUUCCUGCUUCUCAUCCCUUAUGGGGCGUGACUAUACUUCUUGUCCUUGGGUUCUGCGGGGCUCCCUCUGUAUCCUUGUGGUAGCCCAUAUUUUUCUGAAGCUACUUCUAAUGAGUUCCUGUUACAUCCAAGACAAAGGCAGAGGCACAUGUAGGAGGUAAUGAUUCCAGCUUUCAGCAGGCUGAGUUUGCAGUACCAGGUGGAGCUGCCCAGU